rnacentral:rRNA from 1 species
CAGUAGCCACGGUAAUACGGAGGGGGCUAGCGUUGUUCGGAAUUACUGGGCGUAAAGCGCACGUAGGCGGCUUUGUAAGUCAGAGGUGAAAGCCCGGGGCUCAACCCCGGAAUUGCCUUUGAGACUGCAUCGCUUGAAUCCAGGAGAGGUGAGUGGAAUUCCGAGUGUAGAGGUGAAAUUCGUAGAUAUUCGGAAGAACACCAGUGGCGAAGGCGGCUAACUGGUCCAUAACUGACGCUGAGGUGCGAAAGCGUGGGGAGCAAACAGGAUUAGAUACCCCCGUAGUCCCUGUCUCUUAUAC